rnacentral:tRNA from 1 species
GUCAGUGUAGCUCAAUGGUAGAGCGCUUGCCUAACAUGUGCAAGGCCCUGGGUUCAAUCCCCAGCACUGCA